UGCUAUUUCCUCUUCUCCCCCUGUUUUUGUUUAGUUACCAAAUCCGAGAGGAGAGAAAGUCCCUUCCUUUUAGGUAUAUCAAUAAACGGAGAGUUCCAGAGAGGAUUCGUGUUCCUCAACCCUCACUCAAUGCAGAGAUAUGCAGUGAUUUCUAUCUUUGAAAAACUCCGAUCUGCUCCGUCAAACCUAGGCGCGAACUCCGAUUCCGGAAGAGAUGCUAUUUCUCAGUGUCUUCAUUCCACUUCUGCUACCUUGAGGUUCCCCAUGGUUUGCUUGAACUUCAAUCGGGUCUCGACGGCCGCGACUCGCGUUUCGUCAUUGUUUUCGUCAAAGGGUUAGGGUUUCUUGUUCCUUCGCAUUUCAGAAGAACGAUACGUUGUGGCGGUUGGAUUCUCCGGAGACUCAUCUCUUCGUCAAGGUCGUUUAAUGUCGAAUUGAGGUUCAAGCGGAGCUUGUACAGCCAGUGCUCUUAUUAAUAGCGCAGAAUAAGCGCACGGGACUUGGAAGUUUGUAAAUUCUUGAGGCCUUUCUUAAGUUUCUCGAUAUUGAGGGUAUUUUCAUCUGCUUCAUCGUUUUCGUUCACAAGGCUUAAGUUUCCUCUUUUGCGUCACUGUCUUGCUCGUUUCCAUUCAAAGCUAUGCCCAUUGUCAAGUUGAUGAUGGAAAGCUUCAAAUAUUUUUCCGCGGAAAAUGCAGAAUCCUGGCCAUGAGUAUUUUGUCGCUCAACUCAGAUUCUUAAAGUUUGAAGGAUAUAUCAGGACAUGAAAAAUCUCAUUGACGUUGCUGAAUAUCUGGUGGAUGCAUUUACGGUGAUCUUGAGGCAGGUGGUUGGAACUGGAUCGUUGAUCAAAGAGGCUCGACUAUGCAGCGUCGAACUGUUUGAAACUCUUCUAUCAUUUUAUAGUGAUUUUCACGAGCUUUCUGGUGGGAGUGAGCCCAUUUUCAAACUGUCGAAUAGUGUAUUGCUCAUUCAGAAAGAGCUUGGAUUGCCGUACAUACCAGAAUUGUUAUCAGUGAAGAUGUCCUUAUUUCUCAUACUUACUCAAGCUGAAUUUGAACAUGAACAACUUUUUGUGCUGAAAAUUGGAGUUUGCUUGUUUAAGUGGAAGAUUGAAAAUGUGAUCCAAAUGUGGGUCCCAGCUCUUCUGUAUGGUGCUUAUGACGAAUGUUGGAAGUGCAUAGCUUCUCAGGGUUCAUCAUGUUCUUCACUUGCAUCAAUAGGUUUUGCCUCCAUCUGCUCAUGCAAUAACAGCAACUGCAUCAAAAUUCCUACUGAAGUGGUUGUUUUAGUAUGAACAUGAAUACAGGCAAUGGUCUGUUGCAAUUGCUCUAGGGUUGGUCUCUCUUUGUUUACAUGCAAGUAUGCAACUGAUCACAAGCCAAAAUUUCAGAUCAUUGCUGGACUUCUUGAGAUUAGAUGCUCGUGAUGUGGCACUUGUAUUCGAGUUGAGAGAUGUGCGUGCUACUGUUCCAAAUGGAAGAAAGCGGUGCAAAGAAAGAUAACUUUUGCUGCAAGAUUCAGGAGUACAUGGUUAAUGAGUCAAGCUGAGGGGGUCUUCUCGAGAAAAUUCAUUGAGGUUCCUCAUUUUUUCCAAUUGAUUUUUGUUUAAAUUAUGAUUUUUGAUGUUAUUGUGUUUGCUUCUUCUACAGAGAUGUGCAUGCUACUGUUCCAAACGGCAGAAAGUGGAUUAGGUGCUUAUGAUGUGGCACAUGUAUACGGGUUAAGGUUGAUUGUGGAAUCUUGAAUAUUUAUGGUUGGACUAUCCUAUGAUGUGUUUCCGAAUUUGAAGGAGGAAUGUCGAUGGAAUAAAGAAAAAUAUCAUGGCUGUUGAUUGAUGUUGCAAAGAUUGAGUUUCCUUUCUCCUUUCUCCUUGUUUGUUUUCCUUUUUGUCCCCCUCUUCUACUCCAAUUUUAUUUUGUAACUUUAUUGUUUUUGCAGAUUAGGUGCUCAUGAUGUGGCACAUGUAUAUGAGUUGAGGAAUAUGGAUGGAAUAAAGAAAAAUAUCAGUGGCUGGCUGAUGCUGCAAAGAUUGGAUUAGAUGCUCAUGAUGUGGCACUUGUUUUGAGUUGAGAUUAGGUACUAGUAAUGUGGCACAUGUAUUCGAGUUGAGUGAUGCGCAUAGAAUUAUAAAGCAAGACACGGGAUUGAGGAAUGCAUGGUUAAUAAGGACUAGCAGUCUUGGAGGAGGUCUUCUUAAGGACAGCAAACUCGUCAUUGUUUUGCAUAGCCGCAUAGAAAGAUAUCGUAUCCUAUAAAAUUGAGGAGUGCAUGGUUAAUGAGUUGAGCUGAGAUUAGGUGCUCGUGAUGUGGCACAUAACAUGAUAAUUCCACAUUUGGGAUGCCAUCUACUAAAGAUCAGAGUGCUGGCAUGCACUUUGAUGGUGCUGUUGAACGCAUUGUGGAUCUCAGUGUAAAGAAGGCAUCAAAUCCAGUCCUUGACAGUUACAGUCCAUUAAAGGCUUCAUCAGAUGCUGCAGGUAUCAGCCAUAAGGAGGUUUCCAGCCCACUUAUUCAAGUUGGAGGCCCAUUUAGACUUAUUCAAGAUUAUGCUUUUGAUGGCAGUGUAAAAGGAUGAUGAGACUUCUCUUGAAAAUGUCAGUCUUGUAAAGGUUUUGGAAUGCGAUGCUGACGGUGCUACAAGUUCUUGCAAGGAUACAGGGGUUGGUGUGGAUGUAAAUGUAGACUCCAGGAUGACUGAAAAGGGUGUUAAAUCGUUUAAUGAGUCCAUUUUGAUAGAUCCUAUAAAUGUGCCAGAUAUUUCCCUAGAGUAUUGUAAAGUGGGGGAGGUAACUGUCGUAACUUCUGAUGCAUUAGACGUGAGCACCAAAGCUGAUGAACUUGGAGCUAAUAAUGAUGGGAAUCAAACAUGUAAUGACCCAACUACUUCACUAGAGGUUUCUGAGAAAAAGGGUGGUUUGCACAGUGAUAUUGUGUCUAUUGAUCACCAGAGUGAGUUACGAAAGGAAGAUGCAAACCAAGAUUAUACCUCUUAUGAAAGUGGAUGUGUUUGGGUUAUUGGUGUGAGAAGAUGCUACUGACAGUGACUCUGAUGGGCUGUGAAGAGAGGCAGGAGCUGGAGCCAGUCUCCGCAAGAUUGGAGGAGGAAGAGAAGUUGCAGUCCAUGGAGGAGAGAUAGACGGAGCCGAUCUCGCAGGAUAAACUCUAUCCUCUUUAUGGAUUGAAGUACAUAUUUUUGGUCCACUAUUCAUUAUUGAAGAUUCAGAGAACUAUGUUUUUAGGUAGUGUACUUUGCUUGUGGCAUCCAUGAGUAAUUAUACGUGGCAACUUGAGAAGCUUAAAGAUUUAAGUUGUUGUAUUUGAGCUGGUUCCCAAAGAAAUGAAGAAGCAGAAGCAGGUCUCCUGCUGCUUUCAGGCACAAGGGUGAGUUUGACAUUGAGAAAACUAAACGAGAGGGGCCGUAUGCUAGUUUGCUUUGAUUUCCUUCGGGGCAGGUGCAACCGUGGAGCAUCUUGUUGGUAUCUGUAUGAUGAUUCUCCUAUGCAUGAUGGAUUGAGGCACUAUAAAACGAAACAAUCACAGCAUCUGGAGGUUUCACAUGAUUCUGGAAAGCCUGUUGUCAGUGGGGAGAUUAAGAAUGUAACAACAAAAAUGUAUGAUUUUGAGGAAGUCAAGAGCCAAGAUAUGCCUGUGAGUAUCACUGAGGCUCCAAAGGAGGGGGCAUUUGAUGGAAAAGAGAAAGGGGAACCUAUUAUUCAGCCUCUAGCUUUUGAGAAUCUUCAGCUGCCAGCGGAGAACCUCUCACCUUUACCCCUAGAUAAAUCACCAAAGCAAUCAUCAACUGAUAUUGAAAAGCAGAAUUUGCCGGGUGAAGCCUCUCAUGGUCAACCUUUAUCAGAAGAAUUUUCAAUGGCUCAAUUCCCGAUGCCCGAUGCUUUGCUACCAUUCUUGAAAAUGCUGGUCACUAUUUCCAGCAAGUAGAGAGCUCUUCUGUGUCCUGUCCUUCACCACUUCAAACAUCCACAACUCCGGCUGGGCAGCCUCCCAUGUGUGACCCAUAUCCAACCCUACCUUCUAUGAGCCUACCUUUAUCUCAGAGCUUUGCCCCUCAACCUAUGGCUUGGAGGCAAUGAUUAAAGUAUCGGUAUCGGUCGCCGUAUCGGUUGGUCAAAAUUAAGAUAUGUAUCGGAGGGUAUCGUAUCGUAUCGGAGAUACGCUAAGAUAUGCUAAAGAUACGCA